rnacentral:rRNA from 1 species
AUUGAACGCUGGCGGCAGGCUUAACACAUGCAAGUCGAGCGGAGAUGAGGUGCUUGCACCUUAUCUUAGCGGCGGACGGGUGAGUAAUGCUUAGGAAUCUGCCUAUUAGUGGGGGACAACAUUCCGAAAGGGAUGCUAAUACCGCAUACGUCCUACGGGAGAAAGCUGGGGAUCUUCGGACCUUGCGCUAAUAGAUGAGCCUAAGUCGGAUUAGCUAGUUGGUGGGGUAAAGGCCUACCAAGGCGACGAUCUGUAGCGGGUCUGAGAGGAUGAUCCGCCGAACUGGGACUGAGACACGGGCCAGACUCCUACGGGAGGCAGCAGUGGGGAAUAUUGGACAAUGGGGGGAACCCUGAUCCAGCCAUGCCGCGUGUGUGAAGAAGGCCUUAUGGUUGUAAAGCACUUUAAGCGAGGAGGAGGCUACUGAGACUAAUACUCUUGGAUAGUGGACGUUACUCGCAGAAUAAGCACCGGCUAACUCUGUGCCAGCAGCCGCAGUAACAC